UCAGCUCUUCAUCACACAAGGGCAAUUCAAGUUUGUCAUUUGUUCCAUAUAUAGAAAGUGAACUUGUAGAGAGAGAAAAUGGCCUUGUUUGUUUCUCUCUCCCUAACCCUCAUUCCAACCCAUUUCACAAGCAAGGGUAUUAAUUACUAUUAGCUUAGUAAUUAGAAGCAGUGAUAUACACAUCAGAUUUCAUUAAUUUUAUGAAAAUUAUAUUAAUAUUAAGGGUAAGGGAGGUGACAGAAGAGAGUGAGCACACAUAGUACUUUCUUGAAUGAUAUAAAGUUUCAUGCUUGAAGUUAUGCGUGCUUACUCUCUAUCUGUCACCCCAUCACCAUCUCUUUCUUUUUAUUCUUUCAUUUUUCACUUUCUGAUAUUUGAUAUAUAUAUAUAUAUAGUUUCUUCCUUUCUCACUUUCCCUUUAUAAGUAACCCUAGCCAGCAACUUGGACUCUUUCCGUCAUAUCAUUCAAUAGUAUGUAUGUUAUAUGCGCAUCACAUCCCUUAUCACAGGUUGUAAAAAGUCUUGUUGAUAACGUCAAUUGAAUCCUCCAGCAAAAGUUUCAAUGGUGUGAAACUAAGACAAUCAUAUAUAUGUAUUUUCUAUAUAUUUAUGGUUGAAAAAAGAAAGAGCUGAUGAGGAAAGGGAGCUGUACGUUGUGGUGGAUUUAUCUUGUUAUAUGCUUUAAUGAUGAAUGUAUAUUUAAUUUUAGCAGAAACAAGUGAUGAUAUAUAUAUCAUCUAUACACAAUCAUGUAAUACUUUGAUCAAUACAUAUGUACCAGUACAUGUUAAAAAGGCAUAAAUUAUGCUAAUUAAUUGUGAAGGGCUUGCUUCUAUUGAGGGUGAAAUUGAGCAAAGGUUUUAAAAGAGAGAAAAAAGAAAUUUCUAUA